rnacentral:lncRNA from 1 species
GCCCUUAGCUGUCUGCUCAGGGAGGACGUGACAAGCUGAGACCUGGCCUGGCUGUGCAUCUGGGGCUGGGCCCUGCCUUUGCUGUGCCUCAGCUCUUGGCUGAAGGGGGUGUACCCCAUGGUUUCUGUGCUUGUUUGGGGGUCACCUCCCAGGGCCCCACAUGGGGGAGGGGAGGCUGGGGUGACCAGAAUGCCCCAGGUCUGCUCCUCCUACCAUUGUAACUGGGCCCAGCGAGACCCUGCAGUGUCCAGGUCACCAGCAGGGGCCCUCGCUCAGGGGAGCCCAGGCCCUGCCUGCCCCCGGCUGCCCAGCGGUGCCCUCUGCUCGCUCUCUCUAUUUCGGGGCUGGGAUUGGACCCGGGAUGCUGAACCACUGAGAUUUUAUUUUGAGACAGGACCUUGCUAAGUGGCCCAGGCUGGCCUCAACCUCCCGAGUCACUCGGAUGGCAGCUGUGCCCAUCGCACCUGGCCCAGCUUUUCUUAUCACAAAGGCACCCACCCUGCUCAGGCACACUGGGUGCUGAGCUAAGUAUUCCAGACCCAAAUCAACGCCUUGAACCCUCCUGACUCCCCAACUGCAAGGGCACGUGCCACUACCAUCCCUGGUUUACAGAGGAGAAAACUGAGGCCCAGAGGUCCGGGGACAUGGUGCGAGGUGGCAGGUGCCGUGGGGACACAGCAGUCUGCCUGCUGAGUGCCCCACAGGACAGGGCACAGCCCACACGGCAGAGACACAGCUGGCCCCUCUCUGUGGGAGGCUCUCUGUGGGAGGACAGCUCGGGGGUCACACUGAGGGAACACAGAGCGCUGUUGGAGCCGCGUGCACGGUGGCCCUGGGCUGCUGGGGGCGUCUCCUACCAUCUGCGAGCCCAGGACGCCCGCCCACGGCGCUCCAGACGCCGUUCCCGCUGCGCGGCGGGGGGGGGGUCUCGCGGCUCCUCGCCCGCCCCAAAGCUGCUCCUCCUGGCAGGUGGCUCCAGGCAGAAGCUUGGAGAGUCCCAAGUCUCCUUCCCCCAUGUCCCACCUCCGUUCUGCCAGCAGAGCCGGCGGCUCCCGGCUCCCAUCCUCCCAGAGCUGCCAGCCUGGCCCAGGACGCCGCCAUCCUGCGCCCCACAGCCCACAGGCGCCCAGCCUGGCCCCCUGCCACCCACACGGUGGCCAGGGGAUGCUGGGCCAGGCCUGCAGGGGGUGGUGUGCAU